rnacentral:lncRNA from 1 species
AGCUGGGUUUAAGAUCGGUGGGAGCUGCAUGUUCCAGCACAACGGUGGCAUGAUGAGCCAGAGCAGUGGCUGGCUGUUCACCUCUGGAUAUCACAGAUGUGACACAGUGUGGUAUGGCAUACAACCCUCCCCAGACGUUACAGUGGAGUUAUUUCUGAAACUGUAUAGGUACCCCAGCCCAUCUUCUCUCCUGAUUCUUCUCCACAAGCCAAGCUUUGUCCCUUCACUGAGGCCCACACUACUACUACCUCUGAAGGUAAUCAUUCAGUUCUUCCUUAAGUCUUUCCAUACCUCAUAUACUGAAGGACAGAGACUAUGUCUUCCUCUUAGUUGAAUUCCUCCCAUUUCCAGCAGAGUGAUUUGAAAGAAAACAGUAAAUGUGUGGUUUAUUUAAUUAAACUACUCAAUGAAAAUAUAGUAAAGAAAUUUUUUAAAAAUCUGCUCAGUCCACCACACAUAAAAGACCAAGUGUUUUCAUCUAACAGAUUUCUUAAUUGGAGAUAGCCCAGAUUAAAGGGCACUAAAUUACCCAUUUUUAAACAGUAUCACAAAUAUAGAAUAUUUUCUCCCUUUGUCACUGGAUGAGUUGGCCACAUAGCCAAGUCUUUUCUUAAUUAGGUCCUGUAAUUAAUUCCUUAAUCUGUUAGAAUUUCCUUGCAUCUUGUUUCAUUCUUUUUGUGAAACUCGGAUAAUCUUCCACACUGAUCUCACAAGAGUGGACUCAUCAACAUUAACUGCCGUCCUUCAAUUAUCAGGUUAGCACCCCACUCCUCAAAAAAAGAGCAAAACCUGUACAGUUUCAGCAAUGUUGUGGAAACAUACCUGUAAAGUGUGAGUGGUAAUGGAAGUUGGCACACCUUGAUAGAGAGCAAUCUGGUAAUUUCUAUCCACCUAGCAUAUGCAUAUACUCUUGGACUACCACAUCUGCAAGUCUACACUGCCUGUAAUAGC